rnacentral:rRNA from 1 species
CAAGUCGAACGCGAAAGUCCCCUUCGGGGGACAAGUAGAGUGGCGUCCGGGUGAGUAACACGUAGGUAAUCUACCUUCGGGUGGGGAAUAACGCAGGGAAACUUGCGCUAAUACCGCAUAAUGCAGCGGCACCACAUGGUGACAGUUGUUAAAGCGGGGGAUUUUCGAACCUCGCGCCUGAAGAGGAGCCUGCGGCAGAUUAGCUAGUUGGUAAGGUAAUGGCUUACCAAGGCGACGAUCUGUAACCGGCCUGAGAGGGCGGUCGGUCACACUGACACUGACAUACGGGUCAGACUCCUACGGGAGGCAGCAGUCGGGAAUUUUGGGCAAUGGGCGAAAGCCUGACCCAGCAACGCCGCGUGAAGGAUGAAAUCCCUCGGGAUGUAAACUUCGCAAGAAUGGGAAGAAUGAGUAGGGGCUAAUACUCCCUAUGAUGACGGUACCAUUUGUAAGCUCCGGCUAACUCCGUGCCAGCAGCCGCGGUAAUACGGGGGGAGCAAGCGUUGUUCGGAUUUACUGGGCGUAAAGGGCGCGUAGGCGGCCAGCGCAAGUCAGUUGUGAAAUCUCCGGGCUUAACUCGGAACGGUCAACUGAUACUGCGCGGCUAGAGUGCGGAAGGGGCAACUGGAAUUCUCGGUGUAGCGGUGAAAUGCGUAGAUAUCGAGAGGAACACCUGCGGCGAAGGCGGGUUGCUGGGCCGACACUGACGCUGAUGCGCGAAAGCCAGGGGAGCGAACGGGAUUAGAUACCCCGGUAGUCCUGGCCUUAAACGAUGGAUGCUUGGUGUCUGGAGUUUUAUAGUCUCCGGGUGCCGCAGCUAACGCGUUAAGCAUCCCGCCUGGGGAGUACGGUCGCAAGACUGAAACUCAAAGGAAUUGACGGGGACCCGCACAAGCGGUGGA